ACGUCUCCGGGAAUGACCUCUCAGUCGAACCAAUAGACUUAGAGAUGGGACAGAGAAAGUCAGAAUUUGAAGAAAGUCUGAAUUCCUUAAACCCGCGAGUGAACCUUUCCUCCAAGUAUUGGUCUAAGUCACAAUUAGAAAACAUCAGUAAAAUGACGAUGCAGAUCUGUAUGCAGCAACAAGACUUACUUGAUGUCGAACAAGAUAAAAUGCAAGAAAACCUCACCCAAGAAAGUGGAGAAACCAAUCAGAUUUUAGACAGAACGAA